rnacentral:rRNA from 1 species
AUAAACGCUAGCGGCAGGCCUAACACAUGCAAGUCGAGGGGCAUCGGAUAGAGUACUUCGGUACUCUUGCCGGCGACCGGCGGACGGGUGCGUAACGCGUAUGCAACCUACCUUCAACAGGGGGAUAAUCCGAAGAAAUUUGGUCUAAUACCCCAUAAUAUUCCGACAGGCAUCUGUCGGAGUUGAAAGCUUCGGUGGUUGGAGAUGGGCAUGCGUUGUAUUAGCUAGAUGGUGAGGUAACGGCUCACCAUGGCGAUGAUACAUAGGGGGACUGAGAGGUUUUCCCCCCACACUGGUACUGAGACACGGACCAGACUCCUACGGGAGGCAGCAGUGAGGAAUAUUGGUCAAUGGACGGAAGUCUGAACCAGCCAUGCCGCGUGCAGGAUGAAUGUGCUAUGCAUUGUAAACUGCUUUUGUACGAGGGUAAACACAGAUACGCGUAUCUGCUUGAAAGUAUCGUACGAAUAAGGAUCGGCUAACUCCGUGCCAGCAGCCGCGGUAAUACGGAGGAUCCGAGCGUUAUCCGGAUUUAUUGGGUUUAAAGGGUGCGUAGGCUGUUUUUUAAGUUAGAGGUGAAAGCUCGACGCUCAACGUCGAAAUUGCCUCUGAUACUGAGAGACUAGAGUGUAGUUGCGGAAGGCGGAAUGUGUGGUGUAGCGGUGAAAUGCUUAGAUAUCACACAGAACACCGAUUGCGAAGGCAGCUUUCCAAGCUAUUACUGACGCUGAGGCACGAAAGCGUGGGGAGCGAACAGGAUUAGAUACCCUGGUAGUCCACGCAGUAAACGAUGAUAACUCGUUGCCGGCGAUACACAGUCGGUGACUUAGCGAAAGCGUUAAGUUAUCCACCUGGGGAGUACGUUCGCAAGAAUGAAACUCAAAGGAAUUGACGGGGGCCCGCACAAGCGGUGGAGCAUGUGGUUUAAUUCGAAGCAACGCGAAGAACCUUACCAGGUCUUGACAUCGAUCUAAAAGGGAUGGAGACAUCCUCAUAGCUAUAGAGAAGACAGGUGGUGCAUGGUUGUCGUCAGCUCGUGCCGUGAGGUGUCGGGUUAAGUCCCAUAACGAGCGCAACCCCUACCGUUAGUUGCCAUCAGGUCAAGCUGGGCACUCUAGCGGGACUGCCGGUGUAAGCCGAGAGGAAGGUGGGGAUGACGUCAAAUCAGCACGGCCCUUACGUCCGGGGCGACACACGUGUUACAAUGGCCGGUACAGAGGGUAGCUACCUGGUGACAGGAUGCCAAUCUCGAAAGCCGGUCUCAGUUCGGAUUGGAGGCUGAAACUCGCCUCCAUGAAGUUGGAUUCGCUAGUAAUCGCGCAUCAGCCAUGGCGCGGUGAAUACGUUCCCGGGCCUUGUACACACCGCCCGUCAAGCCAUGGGAGUUGGGGGUGCCUGAAGUACGUGACCGCAAGGAGCGUCCUAGGGCAAAACCGAUGACUGGGGCU